AUAUAUAUAUAUAUAUAUAUCGAAUGUAAUAAACCAGCUUCAAGACCGAACAUUGUCCGCGUAUCUCGUUCGAUUCUAAAUUUGACUAUCAUUAAAGUUACGUAAUGUUUCAAAAUAUAUGAAGCACCUGAAUUUCGGAAAGGGGAAAAUCUAACUCUAAAAAGGUUUAAUAAGUAAACCCAACUCGUAUACUGAUAAAGAUACGGUUAAUAUAAUAUAAGCAGGGUGACUAUUUCGUCUAGUUAGUGUAGCAACAUAACAUUGCUUGGCAAUUAACACUACACCUCCCGGUGCGGAGCUACUUUCUCGGUGAUGUGAGGACUUCGCGGCAACCCUGUACAGUAACAGUAACAGCCUUACGAUCAAGUCGUGAUUCCCUGCUCCUAUACCUAGACCGUGGCUCCUAUUACUGAUGACAUCUAAGAUUAACGGCACAAAGCUCUGUGAUUCAACUUGGGAUCAAAUGGAAAACAAUCUGUAACAAGGACAGAUAUUUAAUUCAUGAAGAAGAAGAAAAAGAAGAAGAGGCACCAGCUCGACGUCGAAUACGACGCUUGAAAUUUUGUCUGCUGGUUAUUGGUGUUAGCGUUGGGUACAUGUCUGCUGGAGGGAGGACGAUUGCUUGGCCCAACGUGUUUGCUGUACAUAUAAGUGAGACUAAUUCAACGGUCUACGACACCGAAAUCCAUUUAGACAGCGUGCAGAUGGACAUGAUAU